rnacentral:lncRNA from 1 species
CUCCUUAUUGCUGGGAAUUUACCAGCACCAGAAUUCUGGUCUCCCUUGUCUGACGACCAAGCUUUUGGUGUGCUCUUAAGUACACCCUUAGACCAGGACAAAACAGCAUUCUCUAACUUGCUCUUUCGAACUUCCGGGUCUAAGGUAUUAUCAGCAUUUUCUUUAUUGUCAUUCUUCUCCCCAUCUAGUGAAAAUCUCAAAUUCAGAGAUAUAUCAUGAAUAUCUCUCAAGGAAUCACUAGGAGAAUCAGUUUCUGAAUUUUCAUCAUCAUCAUCAUCGGUUCUCAGCCACCGUGGUUGCCUAGGUUUGCAGCUAGCUAUCCGGGAAAGAUAUGUUUUACAGUGCUCAGGCCACGAGAAGAGGUGGAUAUUUUUUAAUCCAUUUGCCCUGC